rnacentral:rRNA from 1 species
GAUGAACGCUAGCUACAGGCUUAACACAUGCAAGUCGAGGGGUAACGAGAGGGAAGCUUGCUUUCCUUGUCGACGACCGGCGCACGGGUGAGUAACGCGUGUCCAACCUGCCCCCAACUAGGGAAUAACCUUGCGAAAGUAAGACUAAUACCCUAUAAUUUCCUCAGAUGUCAUCUGACGAGGAAUAAAGAUUUAUCGGUUGUGGAUGGGGAUGCGUCUGAUUAGCUUGUUGGCGGGGUAACGGCCCACCAAGGCAACGAUCAGUAGAGGUUUUGGGAGGAAGGUCCCCCACAUUGGAACUGGGACACGGUCCAAACGCCUGCGGGAGGCAGCAGUGAGGAAUAUUGGUCGAUGGGCGGAAGCCUGAACCAGACAAGUAGCGUGCAGGAUGACGGCCCUAUGGGUUGUAAACUGCUUUUAGACAGGAAUAAAGUUAGCCACGUGUGGUUAUUUGUAGGUACUGUAUGAAUAAGGACCGGCUAAUUCCGUGCCAGCCGCCGCGGUAA